ACCUGAGGCAUGCAUGUGUCCUGAAUUGGGCGGAAAUUCUCCAGAGAUUGAAAUGGAGAAAUCCUUCACUCUGAUUCAGACCAUUGCAACUGCUGGAGCUUUCUCUGCGAUUUCCUUCUGAGAGUCUGCUCGAAAAGACUUGGGAGAUUUGUUUGAAGAUCUACGUCGUGGAAUCUCCUACUGCGAUUCUUCUUCUGAAACUCCUCAUUCUCGACCUGGCACUGUAUGUCCUUUCCUUCAAUAUGUUUUGGUAGUGAUUUUGGAUGAACUAACGUUCGGAAGCUAUUAAUCUUACCGUUCUCUUGCUUUUA